GGCUUUCCGCCGCUCUGGGUUCACAGCUGGACGUCGGAAGUGCUAGUUUGGAGUACGCCCUUUGAGAGUAUGCGUGAGAAGUUGCUCUGUGUGCUGAGCUUUCUAAAGGAAGGCGUCCGUUGGCCUUUGUACCUGUCUUGAGUGAGCUCUCACGCUUUGGAUACGCUCCUCUAAUCCUGUCUGAAAGAGCUAAGCUGACCCCCACCACCAUUGGAGGAAACUCCUGGAGCAGUGCUGGGGUUUUCACUGCAAUCAGCUGCUCCAACUUUGUCUUGUACAUGGCUCUUUGACCUUGGGCUUGUGGAUUAGGGGCCUGUGGAGGAGCUCUGUGACUGCUCUGAUAUCUGUGGAUGGUUCUGAGGGAUUGUAUUUAGUGAAAAAACUGGAAACCAUAUGCAUGUCCAUGAAUAAAAAAAUGGGGCAUAGGCCGGGCGCCAUGGCUCACACCUGUAAUCCCAGCACUUUGGGAGGCGAGGUGGGCGGAUCACCUGAGGUCGGGAGUUCGAGACCAGCCUGACCAAUAUGGAGAAGCCCCAUCUCUACUAAAAAUACAAAAUGAGCUGGACGUGGUCGCGCAUGUCAGUAAUCCCAGCUACUCGGGAGGCUGAGUCAGGAAAAUCGCUUGAACCCGGGAGGCAGAGGUUGCAGUGAGCUGAGACCGUGCAGCCUGGGCAAUAAGAGCGAAACUCCAUCUCAAAAACAAACAAACAAAAAAACAAAACAAUGGGAUAGACCAAUUUCUAGUACUUCUAAACUAUGGAAUACGAUACAGCUGAUAAACCAAAACACAUUAGAUCUAUGUGAUUUCUCUUAAAGGAUGUUGAUUAUAAGUUUCAACUUGUUUAGAACAAGCCCAUAUUCAUCAAAAAUUCUGUAUGCACCGGUGUGGUGGCUCAUGCCUGUAAUCCCAGCAGUUUGGGAAGCCAAAGUGGACAGAUCCCCUGAAGUCAAGAGGUCGAGACCAGCCUGGC
rnacentral:sRNA from 1 species